AAAAUGGUUUUUUUCAAAACCACUUUGAGAAAGCAUCCAUUUUAA
rfam:Deltaproteobacteria bacterium RIFCSPHIGHO2_02_FTLL_40_11 rifcsphigho2_02_scaffold_94289, whole genome shotgun sequence.